rnacentral:rRNA from 1 species
UACGGAGGGACCAAGCGUUGUUCGGAUUUACUGGGCGUAAAGGGCGCGUAGGCGGCUUGACAAGUCACUUGUGAAAUCUCCGGGCUUAACCCGGAACGGCCAAGUGAAACUGUCAUGCUAGAGUGCAGAAGGGGCAAUCGGAAUUCUUGGUGUAGCGGUGAAAUGCGUAGAUAUCAAGAGGAACACCUGAGGUGAAGACGGGUUGCUGGGCUGACACUGACGCUGAGGCGCGAAAGCCAGGGGAGCAAACGGG